rnacentral:lncRNA from 10 species
AGCCUACACCAAGGGAAGAGUCAGGGGAGAAGGAACACAAGACUCCGGAAGCAUGCCAGCGUAUAAAACCACACUUUGCCUCAUUGGUUCGUGCCUCAGCUUCCAAUCUGGACAUGGAGCACAAUAACAGUGGGCCCACUGCUCUCCGAAUUCCUGCGCGCACUUGAAGAAUCAGAAAUAACACAAACCACUGCAGGGUAAUUUUGAAUGCUCAUUUGACUAUGCAGUGACAUCAAGUGGCGAGUUGAGGAAUGAUCAUAUGCUGUGUGAGAACUCCGUGUUAAAAAUUCCAUGGAGCCAGGCUAGACACCACAUUUGGCACUUUCAGCUGUUUAGAUUUCAGAGAAUUAAAAGGAAAUGGUCACCGACCUGCCUUUGAUAGUACCCGUAUACCCCUUCCCACCAU